rnacentral:lncRNA from 1 species
CUGCUUGGUUGCCUGUACACAGCCUAGAGCCAGUGUCUUCUCAUUCAUUAUUUACACCCUGAAAUAAGGGCCUGGUCCAACUCCCAGUGAAGCCAUUCCCGUUGAAUUUCGCUGAGUGAGUCACUGAGAGUCCCAAUCUCUCUGCCUGCCAUUUGGGAAUAACCACUUUUCUUGAGCCUGGAAACCCCAUGCCAAAAUCUUCGUAUGAUGUAUGGCAUCUUCCCCCUGUGUAGCUACGAGCUAAGCACAGCUUCUUCUCCCAGCUCUCCCAUGGCCUGGGCCCAGCCCUUUCUGCAGGUCCAGCUGUCUCUCAGAUGAUGCUUCAACCAUGCCGGAGAGCCCCUGACUUGGAGGUGACUUCAGUCUCACCCGCCAUCCACUGCAGGACUGGUCUACUCCAAAGAGGCCUGGAGCUGGCCCAGGAUGAUAUGAAGAUCUGUCAGCAGAUGCAUCCCUUGGGAACAGGACAGACAACACAAGACUGCUGCGGGUUACAGACUUCUCAAAUCAUGUUAGAAAACAGCAGAGAAAGAAAGAGCAGGAGUCAAAUCAGCAUGAAGAGCAUGGCAGGACACUCCGUCUCCAGCUUGGCCAUCCAACUGCACAAACUCUUCUGUAUGUGAAGACAUAACAUGCAAUGGCAAAAAGAGACAAAUCAGAUAAAGGAAACCACCGCAAAUAAUACGAUGGAGAAAUAAAAGGUACUCAGCCCCUCCA